GGAGGGAGGUGGGGGAGGUGGGGGAGGGAGGGGAGCUCUGCCUCCUCGGCUAAUAAAGUGUGUGAGCCUGUUUCACUCUGUGUGUCGUGUGCCUGCGCUGAGGAGGGGAGGAGACACACUUCAUCGUUCGGAGGGAAACUAAAGUCACCGAGCAGCCGGUCGGCCUCCGGACACCGCGUCCUCCCUCCGUCCAUCCGUCCAACAGCGCCUGCCGUUUCCACGGCGGCCCUGCUUCACAGCCUUUCUCUGGAUCUAUCCGACCGUCUUCUGCAUCUUUGCUGGGAGCUGAUUUAACCCAAAGAGUUUGCAAAGGAUGUGGACCCUGUAGGUCCUCCACCUCACCUAUCAGAAACGCCAUGACCAGCGUCAACUCUCCGGCCUGUCUGCUCGCCCGCAACCACUUCUACAGAAGUUUGCCUCCAAGCCCUGAACCCAUAAAGUCCACAUUCAGCUGUCAGAGCGACUCACAGACCAUCCACAGACCGAGACAGAUCACCCUAUGGGUCACCAUGGCAACGCCUCCUGGAUUCCCGGUUGCCAUGGGAACCAAAGGUUUAUGGGUCAACAUCGUCCUGGGCUCUUCCUCCUCGCCUCACGUCUCCUCCUCUAAACCAACCAACUCCGCAGACCGGCGUGUCAAGUAGCCGAGGAAACGAGCGCAGGUUCUCAUGACGUUUCAUUCCCCUGCUUUUGAUUGGCUGCUCAGGAUGUGGCAGUCACAUGAGCGAUGCACUCACCGCAGCCCGAUGCUGAAAACAUUUCGAUUGUAGUCGGAGGCCCGACGAGGCCACAGAUGUGCCACAGAGACGCUGGAUUUAAGAAAAUAUGAGUUCUGUUUUCAGGCACCUCGGCUCCUUCAGGGCGCUCUAAUCUGUCCUAAUCUCACUGACGUGUGUAUUAAAUACGAUGUUUUAAGUGUAUGUUGUUUUGAUUUAGAAGGAAGAUGGCCGCUUGUCUCUGACCGCAGAAAAGCACAAAAAUGCAAAGUAAAUGAAGGAGAGGGAGUACGCAGGUGUCCUCUGAUGACAGGCGGAGCUUCACACACAGCUGCACCUGUGGCAGCGUCUCCACCUCUAUUUCAGUAAGUACAUCAAACAAGCAGCAUGUGUGGAUUACAUAAUACAAGAACACCAAAGGCCCGGAGCCAGCAGCCACUGAGAUAAAUGCUUCACUUCAACACUGCACGGGCCUCAGGCCAGAACAGCAGGCGAGGCAGCCGGGAAGGAGCCAAAGACUCUUAGAUAGUAUGAAUAUGAAUAAACACAUACGUCACAUACUAAAGGAGGGUCA
rnacentral:lncRNA from 1 species